GAUGAAGAACGUAGCGAAAUGCGAUAAGUAAUGUGAAUUGCAGAAUUCAGUGAAUCAUCGAAUCUUUGAACGCACAUUGCGCCCGCUAGUAUUCUGGCGGGCAUGCCUGUCCGAGCGUCAUUUCAACCCUCAAGCCCCCGGGCUUGGUGUUGGGGAUCGGCGAGCCUCCGCGCCCGCCGUCCCCUAAAUCUAGUGGCGGUCUCGCUGUAGCUUCCUCUGCGUAGUAGCACACCUCGCACUGGGAAACAGCGCGGCCACGCCGUUAAACCUCCAACUUCUGAACGUUUGACCUCGGAUCAGGUAGGAAUACCCGCUGAACUUAAGCAUAUCAAUAAGCGGAGGA
rnacentral:misc_RNA from 1 species